AGUGAACGCUGGCGGUAGGCCUAACACAUGCAAGUCGAACGGCAGCACAGAGGAGCUUGCUCCUUGGGUGGCGAGUGGCGGACGGGUGAGGAAUACAUCGGAAUCUACUCUGUCGUGGGGGAUAACGUAGGGAAACUUACGCUAAUACCGCAUACGACCUACGGGUGAAAGCAGGGGACCUUCGGGCCUUGCGCGAUUGAAUGAGCCGAUGUCGGAUUAGCUAGUUGGCGGGGUAAAGGCCCACCAAGGCGACGAUCCGUAGCUGGUCUGAGAGGAUGAUCAGCCACACCGGAACUGAGACACGGUCCGGACUCCUACGGGAGGCAGCAGUGGGGAAUAUUGGACAAUGGGCGCAAGCCUGAUCCAGCCAUACCGCGUGGGUGAAGAAGGCCUUCGGGUUGUAAAGCCCUUUUGUUGGGAAAGAAAUCCAGCUGGCUAAUACCCGGUUGGGAUGACGGUACCCAAAGAAUAAGCACCGGCUAACUUCGUGCCAGCAGCCGCCGUAA
rnacentral:rRNA from 1 species